rnacentral:antisense_RNA from 1 species
CACCCAGGAUGGCAUGCGCCUUGUGCGCAACGGACCGGAAUUGGAACAGGGGCCGGUCCAAGCGCAUCGUGGGGAAGCAGAGGGGCCGGCAGUCGGGGGACUGUCGGCCCUGUUUUU